AAAGCGUGCGCAGGCGGUUAUGUAAGACAGAUGUGAAAUCCCCGGGCUCAACCUGGGAACUGCAUUUGUGACUGCAUGGCUAGAGUACGGUAGAGGGGGAUGGAAUUCCGCGUGUAGCAGUGAAAUGCGUAGAUAUGCGGAGGAACACCGAUGGCGAAGGCAAUCCCCUGGACCUGUACUGACGCUCAUGCACGAAAGCGUGGGGAUCAAACAGGAUUAGAUACCCCAGU
rnacentral:rRNA from 1 species